rnacentral:lncRNA from 1 species
CUAUGUAGCUAUGCUAAUCUAGAUAUCUAAUUGAUGUGGUGGCUCUAAUCUUGAUUAGAGGCUUCUUCUCCCUUGAUGGAACAAUGAAUUAGGUUUGAGAGGCUCUCUCCUCCAGGGGCUAGGGGGUCUGGUUUUAUAGUCCCUUCAAGUGAAUAUGGGCCAUUGGAUCAAACCGACAUAGAUUGUAUGGUUUAGAUUCAUCCUUUAGGUCGGUGGAGAUCUCCCGCAAAGCAGAGUCCUGAUUGGACUCCUGGAGGGGCGGGCGCCCAGGGGAACAGGGCGGGCGCCCUGCCUCUGGCCCCGUUUCGCCUCCGCUUCGGUCUCGUGGCUUCUGGAGUCUUCUAGAUGUAAGAUAAUUGCGCAGCACGUUAAUAUCUUUACGUAAUCUCGACAUGUGGGCCUUUCUUCCAUAUUUGCUGAUAACCCCCUGCAGAAAUAGACAAACACCAAAACUCAUGGAAUUCUGUCAGAUAAAACCCUAAGUCUAGAUGUUGAUUUCAUUUGGAUCCUUUUCUUUAUUUAUUUGAUAAUUAAAUUUGAUACUUAAGGACCGUCAACAAACUCCCCCAAGCUUACCUCUUGCUCGUCCCUGAGCAAGGAUAGACUCAGCUAUGGAUCAUAAGUUGUUGCAAUAUUUAAAAAAUUGACGGUACACAUGCUUUUAAAUAAGACCUCAUCUCUGAGUUAGAGUAAACUGUCAAGACUUAAAACUUACUUACUUUACCUUCACCAUGGGACUUGUAACCGUCACUUCUGUCUUGAGUGGUUAAAAGAUAGAACAGUCUAGCCAAGUGCCAUGUCUCUUAUUCUUGAUCAGCUAUAGCUCUGGGGUUUUUGUAGAUUUUCAAAUAAAACUCAGAGAUUCCUUGUAUGAUUCUCUCAGGUCUCUCUUUUGUGGUAUUUUUGGAUCCUUACCAAGGCAGUGAUGGUAUAUGCCUUCUCCCAAGAUAUGUGGUAUUUGUGGUAUGAGGCAUAGUGACAUUGCCUUCUCUCUCACCAUACUCUAAUAAGGCUUUUAAUAUCUGGAGCUCAUAGGUGGGAGAUAAAGUAUACAUACUUAUAAGACAUGUAUUGUAUAGUCAAACCAUGGAUCCAAAGUAACAAGUCAAUAAGUUUAAUCAAGAUGUGCAUGUGUGGCGAAUGAAUGGUGUAUGGUGAUGAUGGUGAUAACAAUGGUGAAAACAAUGGAGGUGGAAGUCUAAUUCUACUUUUGCUCUUUUGAGGGGUUACAUACCUUCCUUGCUUUUUGAAACUUUAUGAGGAGAAUGAGAUGCUCUAUAUUUUUUUUUCUCUCAGGUGGGUAUCUUGUACCCCUAAUUCUACUGUCAGACACUUGUCCAUUUUUACCUCUCGUCUCACUUUUCUUUUCUUUCGAGGUUCCGAGCACUUGCUCCUUUUUAUUUCCUCGUAUAUAUAUAUAUAUUUUUUCUUUUUUUUUCUUCUUUUUUUUAAAGCAUUCAUCUCUUGAGAUAAUAUAGCAAGUGGUAGUAACAAGAUAACUUGAGCAUUUAUUUCACAAGGGGAAAACAGAAAUAUUUUUGGUUAUUCUCUCCCGGAUUAGGAGUAGAAUAUUUUUGGGUAAUUCUGGAGAUGGAAUGGGUGAAUAUAUGUGGAUGGUACUUCCGGAGUAGAAGUAGCAUAUAUGAGUGAACGUGCAAGUGAAAUCUUGAUUUAACCACAUGACAAGCUCCUAAGGGUCAACACAGCUUGACCAUACUCAAUGCUCAUAAGGAGUAAAUAGUAAAUGUGUGGCUCAAAGUCUAGCAAGCAUGUAUAUAUGGCUAUGGUAGGAAUUUAAACUCUCAUCAUACAGAAACUCAUCAUGCAACAUUUUAAAGAUUUUUAAAGAUAAAAUUCUCCAGAAUUCUAGCAUCUCUAGGAACAGAUAAACAGCAGCUCAACCUUCCCAUAUCAUAUCCGUUAACAACUUAGACUUCAGAUCAAGUUUUCAUCCCACAAGUUUAGGUCUAGAGCAAGCUUUAAAUUAUAACAGUUAUAUCUAAACUUGAGAGAGAACUUAAAAUUUGCAAAUUAGGCAGAGCAACUAUUUAUCAUAUCCAUGCUUAAGUUUUAUUUAGAUACAGAUUAGCAUAGCCACUUUAUUUAUUUAUUAAACACACUAAGCAAAAGAUAUAUAUAUAAGCAUAAAAUCUUUAUUUGGUUUUUCCUUGUUUUUGUAUUUUAAUAUUCUAAUAUAGUAUAAGUAUAAAGAUAGACAGAAAUACUUAUCGGGAUAAAUGGGGGUGCUCUCCCCCAAGCUGAAUUUUGACGUAAUUUCUCUUGAUGUAGCUAACAGGUGGCGGAGGUGUAUUUGAAAGUCGGCAGCAUUUUGACAGCGAUUAGAAUGUCCUCUGUCUGCUAGUCUUCUUGAUUCUUAAAUUCUGUGGAGCUCAAAUAGACAACAAAGGUUGUAUAUAGAUCCAAUCUAACUAAGCCAAGUACAUAACUAUGAUAAACUAAGAACAAUAUAAUCUUGAAUAUAAGCAAGUAGAGCAAAGUCAUAAGCAAUAUAUUGAAGUAGAACAAAGUCAUAUUUAUAAUAUUGAAGAACAAAGAUAAUUAGAAAGCAAUUAGAAGCACAAUUAGAGAAUUACCAAGAAUCCUCUUGACAGAUCUAGAAACCAAUCGAAGAUUGACUCCUUCUAGUUCUAAUCCUAUGUAGCUAUGCUAAUCUAGAUAUCUAAUUGAUGUGGUGGCUCUAAUCUUGAUCAGAGGCUUCUUCUCCCUUGAUGGAACAAUGAAUUAGGGUUGAGAGGCUCUCUCCUCCAGGGGCCAGGGGGUCUGGUUUUAUAGUCCCUCCAAGUGAAUAUGGGCCCUUGGAUCAAACCGACAUAGAUUGUAUGGUUUAGAUUCAUCCUUUAAGUCAGUGGAGAUCUCCCGCAAAGCAGAGUCCUGAUUGGACUCCUGGAGGGGGCGGGCGCCCAGUAGGACAGGGCGGGCGCCCUGUCUCUGGCCCCGUUUCGCCUCCGCUUCGGUCUCGUGGCUUCUGGAGUCUUCUAGAUGUAAGAUAAUUGCGCAGCACGUUAAUAUCUUUACGUAAUCCCGACAUGUGGGCCUUUCUUCCAUAUUUCCUGAUACCCCCCUGCAGAAAUAGACAAACACCAAAACUCGUGGAAUUCUGUCAGAUAAAACCCUAAGUCUAGAUGUUGAUUUCAUUUGGAUCAUUUUCUUUAUUUAUUUGAUAAUUAAAUUUGAUACUUAAGGACCGUCAACAGUGAGUUCCCGGAUGUAUUUCCUGAUGAUUUACCCGGGCUUCCUCCGGAUCGGGAUGUGGAGUUCAAAAUUGAGUUGAUUCCAGGUACCGCUCCUAUCUCUAGAAGACCUUAUAGAAUGCCACCCAAUGAAUUAGCUGAGCUUAAGACGCAACUGAAUGAGUUGUUGAAGAAGGGUCUUAUCCGUCCUAGUUCGUCUCCAUGGGGUUGUCCGGCUAUCUUUGUGAAGAAGAAGGAUCAAUCUUUGCGCAUGUGUGUGGACUAUCGUCCCCUAAAUGCGGUGACCAUCAAGAAUAAAUACCCUCUUCCUCGCAUUGAUAUCUUGUUUGAUCAGUUGUCUAAAGCCAAGGUAUUCUCCAAGAUCGAUUUGCGAUCUGGGUAUCAUCAGAUCAAGAUCCGUCCUGAAGAUGUACCUAAGAUAGCUUUCUCGACGAGGUAUGGGUUGUAUGAGUAUCUCGUCAUGUCCUUCGGUCUUACAAAUGCAUCUGCUCACUUCAUGUAUCUCAUGAAUUCGAUGUUCAUGCCUGAAUUGGACAAGUUUGUGGUGGUCUUCAUUGACGAUAUCCUAGUAUAUUCCUGCAAUGAAGAGGAGCAUGCAGAGCAUCUACGUGUAGUGUUGUCGCAUUUGCGCGAACAUCAGCUUUAUGCCAAGUUUAGCAAAUGCGAGUUUUGGCUGAAGAAAGUACCUUUCUUGGGCCAUGUCUUAUCUGAAGAAGGCAUAUCGGUGGACCUAGCCAAGGUGCAAGAAGUGCUGGAUUGGAAAGUUCCAACUUCAAUACACGAGGUUCGGAGUUUUCUUGGUCUGGCUGGAUAUUAUCGCCGAUUCAUUCCAGAAUUUUCAAAAAUAUCCAAGCCUAUGACUCGUCUACUUCAGAAAGAUGAGAAGUUUGUGUGGACGCCUGAGUGUGAAGAGGCAUUCCAUAAGUUGAGAACAUUGUUGACAUCAGCUCCUGUCCUAGCUCAACCUGAUAUCGAAAAGCCCUUCGAUGUUUUCUGCGACGCGUCGGGAAUUGGUUUAGGCUGCGUGUUGAUGCAGGAAGGUCGCGUUAUCGCGUAUGCCUCACGCCAACUUUGAAAGCAUGAGGUCAAUUACCCUACUCAUGACUUAGAAUUGGCAGCAGUUGUUCAUGCUUUGAAAAUCUGGAGGCAUUAUUUGCUGGGUAAUCUGUGUAAUAUCUACACUGAUCAUAAGAGCCUCAAGUAUAUCUUCACUCAACCUGAACUGAACAUGCGGCAGCGAAGGUGGCUUGAGUUGAUUAAAGAUUAUAAUCUACAAGUGCACUAUCAUCCGGGCAAGGCGAACGUGGUAGCGGAUGCCUUGAGUCGGAAAGCGCACUGUCACUCAAUCCAAGUGGAAGAUCCGUUGUUGUCACAUCUUAUGCAUCCACUUGUACUCCACCAGAUUUCUCUAGAGAGUACUCUUCGCAAUCGAGUCAUCGAAUUGCAGCAAACAGAUGUAGGCAUCCACCAUAUAAAGAGGAAAAUGAAGGAAGAAGAAACCAAGCAUUUCUGGGUCGAUGAGAAUGGAAUUCUUUGGUUCAAAGAUCGACUAGUGGUCCCAAAAGACCGUGAGCUGCGAAAUCAGAUCUUGUCUGAAGCUCAUUCAUCCAAAUUGUCUAUCCAUCCUGGUAGUAGCAAGUUGUAUCAGGAUCAGAAACCCCUAUUUUGGUGGACAAAGAUGAAAAAGGAGAUCGCUGCUUUUGUCGCCCGUUGUGACAAUUGUUGUCGUGUGAAGGCUGUUCACAUGAAAGCUGGUUUGCUUCAACCCUUGUCAAUUCCUGGUUGGAAAUGGGAAGAAGUCAGCAUGGAUUUCAUCGUUGGACUCCCAACUUCUAUUAAGGGUUACGACUCAAUCUGGGUGAUUGUAGAUCGUUUGACCAAGGUUGCUCGAUUUAUUCCAGUUCGAACUGACUAUCGUCCGCAUCAAUAUGCAGAAUUGUAUUUCGAGCACAUUAUUCGUCAGUAUGGUGUGCCUCGAACUAUUGUAUCAGAUCGUGGACCGCAGUUCACUGCUCGUUUUUGGGAAUGUCUACAUGAGCAGAUUGGUACUCAUCUAGUCCGUAGCUCUGCUUAUCAUCCCCAAACAGCAGGUCAGACUGAACGGGUUAACCAAAUCCUAGAAGACAUGUUGAGGGCAUGUGCUCUCUCUUCAAAAGGUUCUUGGGUUAAGUGGUUGCCAUUGACUGAGUUCUCCUACAACAAUAGUUACCAGGAGAGUAUCAAGAUGGCUCCAUUUGAAGCCCUGUACGGUCGAAAGUGUCGAACCCCGUUGAAUUGGGUAGAAGCCGGAGAGCGAAGGUAUUAUGGCAUCGAUUUCGUGAACGAAGCAGAGCAAAAAGUCCGUACGAUCCAGCAACAUCUGGAAGCUGCUCAAGCUCGUCAGAAAAGUUAUGCCGACAAAAGAAGGAAGCCGAUUGAGUUUUCAGUUGGUGACCAUGUGUAUAUCAAGGUUUCUCCGAUGAAGGGUGUACAAAGGUUCGGAGUCAAGCGAAAGCUUGCACCUCGUUAUGUGGGACCUUAUCGGGUUCUCAAAAAGAAAGGGGAUGUGGCGUACAUCCCAGUUGCGCUUCGAGCUAUUUUCCCUGUCUUCCACGUAUCACAAUUAAAGAAGCGCCUUCAUGUACCGGAGGAACGAGUGGAAGUUCGGGAUAUCAAGUUGAAGUCAGACUUGGUAUACGAAGAAAAACCUGUAGCGGUUCUUGAUCGCAAGGAACGGGAGACUCGUAAUCAUGUGGUUAAAUUCUACAAAGUGUUGUGGAGUAACCACGGGGAAGAUGAUGCCACUUGGGAGACGGAGGAUUAUUUAAAAGAAGUUUACAAAACAUUCUUCGAAAAUCAGUAAGCUUUCAAAUCUCGGGACGAGAUUUUUGUAAGGGGGAGGGCUGUAACACCCCAGUGUUAUGGUUGCAUUAAUCAUGUGUAUAGCAUGAGCAUCAUCAUCUACUCAAAGCAUAUCAUGAUCAUCAUCUAUCUUGAGCCAUGUCAUUCUAUGCAAAAAUGUGAUCUAAAGUGCUUAAAUAGGCUUUCUAUGCUUAGGUUUGAGUGAACCAUGCUUGUGUUUGUGCUCUAUGUCUUGGUAAUUAGUUUAUCUAUGCUUAACUUAAUCUUGGGAACAAUGUUCAUGUUGAUCACUUCUCCAAAAUAAUCACUUAAGUCAUACUUUUACAAAUAGGCCCUGGAAACCUCUUUUGCUUAGGCUUUUAAAAAGUGUUUCAUAAAAUGUUUGCAUGUCAAAACUUUCUACCGCAAAGUUGUAGCAAAUUUUAUAAGAAACAAAAGUUGUUUUAUGGCCAUCUCAUGAAAAUGACCACAAAUAGCUCAAAAGUGACCCACAAGGCAGAAUUGGGGCUGUUUCCAACACUUAGAAAAUUUUCUAAGUCCUGGAACGAAACCAGUUUGCUUGAUCGAUUUUGAAAACUCUAUAUCUUUCAAUCCAGGCCGAUCUGGCUUUUGCUCUAGUUGACAAUGUUGAAGAACUCGUUUGGAACUCCAACUUUGUCAACUACACCAUCUCCUAACUUGCUCUGGUUUGGAAGUUAUUCUUCGACGAAGUUGCUCUGUCAGUCGGUGAUCGCGAGGUCCGAUUCAGAGAGGAGCUCCCCGUCGGGAACGUCCAGAGCGCCACCUGUCCGCCAGAUGGCGCCCGUACGCCGGCGAUGGCCCCACUCGUCAGCUCCCUACGCACGCAUGACCUCCACGGCGACGCCCCGAGCAGAGUGGACGCGUCCACUCUCGCCUUCCUCGCCCUCUCGCGCCUGUAACCCGCCCGCAGCGAGCUCACCGUCGCGAGCUCACUCCGGCGAGCUCGUGCGCGUUCCUUGCUGCGCCAUUGCCCACCAAACUUCACCCAAAGCUUCACCGUGAACUGCUCUCCAUUCUCCACCCAUCUUCUCGCCGAGAAAUCCACCGGUGAGCCGCCAUUCCCUUCUUUCCCCAAAUCGGGUCGCCGCGAGCAUCUUUUCUGGCGAACUCAAUGCCGAGCCCUGUGAAGCCGCUCGUCUUCUCUGGUUAGGUCCUAGAGGUAGAGUAGGUCCUUAGCGAGCGUUUGCGCCACUUGGUGGACGCUCUACCAAACUCUCCGUCGCCGGACACGAUGCGCAGCGCCGCCGUGUUUCCGCCGGAGAUGGGUGCUCUCGUGGCCAGCGUGUUCCACGAGGUUUCAAGCCAAGCCGCGUACCUAGGAAGCUUCGCCGUAGUCCGCUGGUGCUGUAGAAGGCCUUAGGUCGCGCUCUACCGGCCUGAGGGCUCCGACGUAACGCCGAGCACCUCCGCCGAGCCGCCAUGGUCGACGGCAAGCCCCUUCCGGUGGCUCCGCCGUGGGGAAAAGGGGGUCAAUCGAGUCACUAGAGUCUAGGGAUCACGUUGGUGCCCCUGGUUUGGCCGGAGACCUCGCCGUCGCGGAGAAAUCGCCGGCGAGAAUCACCUCGGCCGUGAGGGAGAAGAACCUGACAGUCGGGGUCCACUGUCAGUGUCAUCCUCCUUCCCUCCUUUUCUUUUAUUCAAAUCUAGAUUUUUGGCUUUCUUGCAAAAAUCAUAUCUCCUGUUUCUGAGAUCAAAAAUUGUGAAACCAAUUUUGUGGUAUUCCUUGAGAUGGCUAGUUUUUAAUAAAAAUAUAAAAUGAACCAUGUUUUCUGGAAAAAUAUUUAUUAAGGAAUUAAUCUUGUUAUUCAUGGAUAAUUCAUAUCUCUUGUUGUACUGUUGAGUUUGCCUUGAAAAUUUUAUAGUAAUCUCUGUGUGGUACUAGAGUGCUAUGAUAAAUAUUUCAUGAUUUUUGGAGUACUGCAGCUUUGUUAUGUAAUUUAUGUUUGAGUUCUGGCUUGUUUCUUUAAUUAAAUCAUAUAAAAUAAUUGGUGUUUAUGCUGGUGCUCUACUUUGGUAGUAAACUUGUUUAUGGUAUUCAUAAUAUAUAAAUAAUCUGAAAUCUGUUGUUUGACACCAUAUAAGUCAUGUUUCUGAAUUUAUGGAAUAAACACCUUGUAACAUGUUAAAUACAUAUCUUUAAUUGGGUAUGUGCUUUUGCUCUGAAAUGUUUAUGGUGAUGUCUUGAUGCCCUACUUGUGCUUCUGUAAUUUUUGUAGAUUUUUCUGAGCACUUUGACUAGUAUCUUGUAAUUAUGCUCCUCUCUAGAAUUAAAUUAAUAAAUGCAUUGUUAAUAAACUUUUGGAGGUUAUCAUGUGGUGUUCUGGUAACCUUAUGGCAUGCUUGUACUUAUAAGUUGAGUGGUUAACACUGUUUAUGCUUUGGCUAUAUCAUUAAAUAAUUAAUGGAUGGGUUAAAAGCUGUUCUUGACAGCAAGGGGGUGGUUUAACUUUUGCUUAAAGAUAACUUGGUUUUCUGGGAAACUUGUAUAAAUCAAAGUUGUUGCCAACUUAUUGAACUAUCUGUGGUUUAAAUUUGGGGUCAUUUGGCCUAGUAGUUUAAAAGUUAUAGCUUUUCCAAGUUGGGUUCCAGAAAUAGGUGCUCUCUGUUUUUCUGGGACAGAACCUGGAACUUUAUUUAAAUGACUGGUUUAAUAUAUGAUUCUUGCUGUAAUGUUUAAAGAUGAUUUGUAGACAAUUUCAUAAGCUUUCCAGAAUGUCCUCACUUAUGUUUGUUGGAUCUUUGUGGCAAUAGUUAUGAUCUGUUUACUGAGCUAAUCCUGCUGUUUGUUGCUUGCUGUUAUAGGCUAUCAUGAUAGGUUUUGGGCUAAGUUAACUUAUUAUCUUGUGUGAACUUGUUAUAAUUUUUGCUCCGUAAAUGAGAGUCCAGUGGGUCAUUUAUGUUAUCAAGCAUUCAUUCUUUUGUAUGCACACCUUCUCAUUCACCGAGCAUGCAAUAGGUGCAUCGGACGUGGCAGCCUCCUUCGAUCUGCAAGUGAACCCCGAAGGCCAGGAGGGCAGCCAGGAGGUGGAGGUCCAGCAAGUCGGACUCGAGGAGCCCGAAGAAGAUGUUGAGUGCCCAAGUCACGAGCCAGCCUCGUUCGUGAAAGGCAAGCCUCGGAGCAUUCUAAGCCUCCCUUUAAUUUUGAAAGUUUAUUGAAUAUGUUAUAUCUAUUGAUGCAUUAAGUGUAGGAGUUGUGAUGAAACUUUUGCUGCAUUUUACUCCAUCCUUGUCCAGAUAACUCACCUCACCUUGGUUAUAGAGUUAGGAUCGAGUAGCAGCUUAGCCAUGCUUAAUCGGUAGAAGUCGGGUGAUUUCUUGUCACCUGCGCGAUAUAGGGUUGUGUCGGAUCACGAUGGACUAUAUGUGCUAUCGUGGAUGGAACCUGAUUAAUUUGACUUAAGUCGGGCGGAGUUUUGCAAGGUUGUAGUAACUCCGUCUGUGGCAGCUAAGGACUGAUCGUUGUACGUCCUCUUGUCAUGUUGAACGCAUGCCUGACACUUAUUUGGCCGGAUAACUCGUUCCGACCGCGAAGCUGAGUAGUAUGACUCAGGCAUCAAGACCGGCAAGUAUAAAGUGCGCACUACCAGAGGAAGUGCGGCGUGCGGGGGACCAUUGGCGUAAGCCCAAAGGCAGGUGAGUUAAAAUUCCUGACCUCCCUGGCAGAGUGGUAGCCCUGGGAGUGCGGCGCUGAUCGGAGCCGCGAUUCCUGAGUUGUACCAAAGGUGACCCGUUGGCUCUCCGACGGGGGAUGCUUGGGUGAGUGCUAGGAAUAACCCUCCAGCUGGAUAGGAAUUCGAUUCGAAUCGCCGUCUCUCUCGGUCAGUGAGAACAUGACAGAGCAGCGGCAAACGUAGCAUUCACUAAUGAACUUGGUUCAUGAUAAUGAUGGUAGCAAGGAAGAACAUAUGAUGAACUUGAUAUGGUUAUUAUUGCUUAUAAUAAUCAAGUGAAGUGCUUUAGUACAGGUGCUAAUCUAGCAGUAGGCUAAUAGUAAAUAAAUGUGAUGAUCUUACAUUGGGUUAGUCUUAAUAAAGGCUUUUGGCAAAAUGUUGAGUCAGCCAGCUCUACUUUUAUAUAUUAGCCUUGCAUGAUCCUUGGUGUCUGUUGGUGCAAAAGCUGAUCUGCAAACACAAAGGGCUAAUACCCGAUUUAAACGUUAAGGCGUGCCAGCCGAUUUGACCUUACUAUCGGCAAAGGUGGUAACUCGAAUACUUUGGUCCUGGCAACAGCGAUGCGCCAGGAUGCCACGGCCAAGAGGUAUUCACACGGAACUUGAGAACACGCCGAGCUUAAGUCGACGAAUUCCUAAUAACUCGUAAUAAAAGAAAAAAGGUAUGACGAAGUCGUCGAAAAAGUAGAUGCUUAGAAUAUGAGUAAAAAACGUGUGUUUGAUUGAUUGAUAUCUGUCUCAUUACAAAGCCCUAGGGUUUAUAUUUAUACCCUGCUCAAAGAGCUACAACCAGACACGACUAGAACUCGAAUUCCAAAUUACACAGAAUCCGUAUACAAAACGAUUUGAAUAACUAAGGAAAACAUAAAACUGUCCCCCCGUGAUAAACUGAAACACCUCCACAAGCCGAUCGGCAGCUUCCAGACUCUUCCUCCAUAUCAUCGGCAGAUUCCCUUGUCGUAGCCAUCGGCACAGACACAUCACAACCUAUGGACUUAGUCAUGUUCAACAGCCCCUCCAUCGGCUACCAUCCUCCAUCGGCAACUCAUCCUACAGAUCAAGCAACACCAUUUCAUCUUGCCGAUCCACACUUUAUCGAUCAUGGACACGUGCCCGAAAACGGUGUCAACACAUGCCCCCCAAUUUCGGAGUAUGAAAUCAUUGAUGCUCCGAAAUUCUCUGCAAUAAUGAUGCUUUUUUCUGCAAUUAAUGCUCCUAAUCUGGUAACCGACAGCCUCAAUCUAAACAACCCCGAUCCUAUUCUUCCGCAGACUCCUCGAAGUCCUCAACUUCCCUAAAUGGACAUUUCCCCUUUAGCCGCUUGUCGGCAAUAUGACCGUUACAGAGACUUGCCGAUAGACAUCCAUAUCUUAUCCUUCCAAACAGCCAUCUCCACAUCACUCCCCCAUCGGCAAUAUGACCGUUACCAGGCGCUAUUGAUGGACCGACCAGGAGAUCCCGCACAGUAAAAUAUCUCUGGAUAAUGACCGUUUCCUGUCAAAUCACCUGCACAAUCCUUGAUUACCGUGUGAACAGUUACCAUAUCUACCCGAGCACUCUCGCAUUUCGUGGAUGCGGCAAAGAGAUAAGUCAGAUUUGCCCUUGCCCGUUUUGUCCUAUAAAUAGUUCCUUCUCGGGUACUCCUUCUCCAUCACAUCAUUCCACCAUCCCAGCUUUACUUUCCCAGCGGCGGCGCCUUUCAAGGUCUCCAAGAUUCCCGACGAAGUCUCUUCUUCAUCAACUCCGGAGCCUUCGAUCGUCCUUCCUGUGGCAAGAUGGCCGUCAACUUCAUUGUUCCGGAGGUCAGUUCUUCAUUUCAUCUUUCAUCCCUGUUCAUCCGCAAUGCAUUUCACUGAACAUUUUUCCUUAUUUUUCUUUGUGUUUUUCUUUUCUUCCUCCAAAACCAUUAGGAAUCGGCUAAUAAAAUUGUCAUCCCCACCGAUCAACCACACCUCCAAUGCCUCGGCCCGCUAGGAGAUCCAGAUCCAACCGACCUCAUAAACGCAGAAACCAACAGGAUCCCUUUUAGAGCAGAGAACUUUUCUUUGGAUCUAUAGAAGGAUACUUUCCGUUCCUGGCCCAGCCCUACCAUGGGGUGGAAGGAUUGGUUCUUGAGGGUCAGCAACUCCAAUGAAAUCUAGUGGGGCGAGAGAAAGCUAGACCAAUGCAUUAGGUUGUCCAUUGCCGAUAUGCAUAAGAAUGAAUCACUGUUGAUAGCUGCAUCUUAUUUCUGGUCAGACACCCUCAAUGCCUUUGUCUUUGGCCAUGGCCCUACUUCCCCUACACUUGCCGAUGUAGCUAUGCUCACUGGCCUGGAUAUAUCUUCUGCCAAUAGCACCCACUUCUUCGAUACCAAACCCAGUGCUAAGGUAGAAACCCGCACCAUCAGCGGCUGGUCGGGGUAUAUCCAAAAAUACCGCAAAACAGGCCCUGUUGACGCAAAAGAGCAGACCUGCUUCCUGAACAUGUGGCUAGACAAAUUCAUGUUUUGUGGCCGAUCGGCAGGACCAACUUCUGUUUAUCUAGCAGCAGCAGAAAAUCUGGCCAAUGGUGGCCGAUUUCCCCUCGGCCGAUACCUGCUUGGAGCAGCCUAUCACCUCCUCCACCAAGUAACUAAGAAGCUCUUGCUUGGCCAGUCCAUCGGUAAUCUGGGAGGUCCCUGGUGGUUUAUUAACAUGUGGCUCAAUCUCCACAUAAACAAGCGUCUGGAGUUCAAUCUUUUCGCUCAGCGUUUUCCAAGGGACAUAGCCGAGAACCAUGUGCUGGGUGAAGAGGAAUCGGCAACACGCCCUCCUUUGAACUUCGGUGAAGCUGUCAUAGUUCUGCCUGGCACAGGGAGUAAUCCAGAUCAGAUUAGCCAAUUCUUCCAAACCUUGUACGAAGGAUUGGCCAGAGAUGAGCGAGCAUGGUUAGCUUAUGAUGACCCAGACACCGUGUUUCCUCUGGUUUUCAAUCCGUUCGACGAAGCUCUUGAUAAGGACAAUGAAGUAAUGAUGGCAUUGGUGACUCCUAGAGCCAUACCAGUGAACUUCUUUGGCAGUGGAAAAACCUCUCCCCAUACUUAUGAAUUUUACAAUCCAUCGGCAUUAGCUCGUCAGUUAGCUUUCGGCCAGCUGCCGAUCGCACUCUGUUAUGUCGAUGUGAUAAAGCCCAGAGAAACCAUUAACAGUCUCCUUGAAUGGAUCCGAUUGGCCCAACUGCCAUCAAGUGCCGAUACAGAUGUAAACCUGUCAGAGUGGGUACCAGCCGCCUUCCUCACUCAGGCAUACAAGCAGUGGUGGGCAGAAUGGAAGGAGCACCUAUUCUGCAAAUCGGCCCUUUCGUAUCGCGGCAUGAUCGAUCCUGAGUACGAAGUCCCCACUGACACUGUAAGUAUCUUUAAACCGAUGUUCCAAUUCUUUCAAUUCUAUUUCCAUCGGUAACUGAUUCUUUGUGUGACUUUUCAGGUCGAUAACACCCCUCCGUCGGUCAGUAGAAGUGGCAAGCCGAUUGAUCUAUUUGCAUCGGGUCCAAUCUCUUCAAUCGGCCACAAUGCUCCUACCUUGGCCGCCAUCGUACAUCGAGGCAUACGCCUCAAGAAGGUUACCACCAAGAGAACUCAGACAUCACCAUCGGUAGCCGCUUCCACUCUGGCACAGGCUUUCAAGGUAAUUGCCAAACCUUUUCAUUUAUACCAAUCUUCCUUUCACAUCUGCUACAUUGAUACAAGUCUUCUUUUCUGCAUCAGCAAACCAGCGCAUCGGCAAGGACAAAAAGUAAAGGUACCGAUGCCCCCCAGUCCAGCCAGCAAAAGAGAAAGGGUACCAAAGGUACCAGAGCACAGGCAAAGCGCCAGAGAGUAGCAACUCCCCCUCCUCCUCCGGUAUCUCCAAUCCCGGUGGAGUCUUCCCCUUCUUCUCUAGAAGUCCAGACGCAGCAAGCACCAUCUUCCCCACCAAUGCAAGAAGCACCACAGGUGGAAGAACCUCAACAAGAAGUACCUCAGCCAGAAGACGCACCAGCUGACGUGCAUGAACCAACUGCCGAUCCAGCAGGUUCUAUUAUAGCAUCAGUAGUCUCUUCCAUCCAGACAAGAACUGCCCUUCCUCAAGGUAACACAUUUUAUUACUGCCGAUAAACUCAUUCUUUUCCGGUCUUAUAACCCCUUCUGUUAAUUUUCAGCUGACAUAGCUCCAUCGGCAAUUCUGGCCGAUCAACCCGUGGCUCCAUUGGUGUCUUCGAGUCAGAGGCAAGAGAUAGCCUUGAAACAAGUAAGCCAUCCAAUCUCAAUCAAUACUAUUUGCCGAUGCUCUGAUCAUAGAAUAAUUCACUUCGUUUUCCUUUUUAGGAACAAGAUUCUCCCGACAGUCUAUUCUCCUUCGCCAUUGAUAUCUCCAAAGACGAAGGUGAAGAAGCAAGUUCCUCUCGGGCAGUUGGGAUCGCAUCGGCAGAGAUCAGAGCCAAGCUAGAAGAAUUGUCAGCCCUCCUUCAUCAAGACACGGCUCAACUGGUCGAUGACUCUGACCCGGCCAAGGUUCUGUUCAAGGCCCUCAGAGGCCAGAUUCCCGCUGAUGCCGAGAAAACCCUCUUCCAGGCCGCACAUCUGGAGAGUCGUCAGCUGCAGUAUCAGAAGGCCGCUCGGCGCCUUGCCGAUAGAGUUGCUCAAACCCGGCUUUCUGAGGAGAUGAUGAAAGAGAAGCUCCUGACCGAUGAGAAGCACAAGACCAUCGGUACCUUGAAGUCAUCAGGCGACGCAUUGAAACAGAAGAUUUCUGAUUUAUCGGCCAAAAGAGAAGCCUUGCUGGCAGAACUCAAGCAAGUGGAAGAUGUUCUAUCUCAAGCCCGACAGGAAGAGAGUCAGUUGCCAGAGACCAUCAAACUUCUUGAACAAGAACGGAAUGCCCAUGGUCGCAAAGCACUGUAGCUGAAGAAGAAGCUGAAGUCGAUAGAAGGCUCUGCCGAUGACGACGUAAAGGAGAUAAAGGAAGCCAACCAAAUCCGGCUGCGCGCCAUAUCGACGAUCCAGGCACUGUUGAACACAUGAAGCUUUCAUCGGCGAUACAUCUUCCAGUCCUCUCAUUGUUUUUAGUCUAGCCAAUAGGAUUGUUAUCGGCAACUUUUGAAACACUAAGUCUGACCCCAGAUACGCUUUAAUCCAGCCGAUAGGAGUGUUAUCGGCAUUUAAACUUUUAUGCAUCGACCCAUAUGCUGGGGUGGUACUUCUUUAAAUAUUUGCCAUUUAAUGCUCUGGGAAAUUCGAAUCCUUCGAGAGUUUCUAAAAUGUAAGCGUUACCAGGGGCCGAUCGACUUAUCCGAUAGGGACCUUCCCAAUUGGGAGACCACUUUGCAAACCUCGAACUUUUAGUCCCGAUCGGUAAAAUCAAUUUCCACACCAAGUCUCCAUCGGCAAACUCCUUAGCCUUUACCUUCUUAUCGUACCAUCUGGCAACCCUUUUCUUAUUCUCUUCUAUGCUCAUCAAAGCCCUUAACCGAUGCCCUGCUAGAUCAUCCAACUCGUCUGUCAUCAGAGUAGCAUAAUCAUUGGCAGCCAACUGAUCUUGAAAAGAUAAUCGCCUGGAUCGAGCCUUAAUUUCCCAAGGCAACACUGCAUCAUGUCCGUACACCAACUGAUAAGGUGAAACCUUGGUUGAUCCAUGACAAGCCAUCCGAUAGGACCAUAAGGCUUCGUUUAACAAUGUGUGCCACCUUCUAGGAUUUUCUUCAAUCUUCCGUUUAAUAAGCUUAAUAAUUCCUUUGUUAGACGCCUCGGCCUGCCCAUUGUCUUGAGCAUAGUAAGGAGAAGAAUUCAAUACUUUAAUCCCCAUACCGAUUGCGAAUUCAUCGAACUCCCCUGAUGUAAACAUAGUACCCUGAUCGGUAGUGAUUGUUUGAGGAAUUCCAAAUCGGUAAAUGAUAUGCUCCUUCACAAAAUCAAUCAUAUUGGCCGAUGUGACUUUCUUCAAAGGAAUAGCUUCAACCCAUUUAGUGAAAUAAUCGGUGGCAACUAGAAUAAACUUAUGCCCUUUGCUAGAUGGUGGAUAAAUUUGGCCGAUCAAAUCAAUAGCCCAUCCUCAGAACGGCCAUGGCUUUAUAAUAGGAUUCAUAGCCGAUGCAGGUGCUCUUUGAAUGUUACCAAACUUUUGACAUCCUUGACACCCUUUGAAAUAUUUAAAGCAAUCUUCAAGUAUGGUCGGCCAGUAAUAUCCAUUCCUCCUAAUCAUCCAUUUCAUCUUAAAAGCCGACUGAUGUGCCCCACAUUUCGUGGAUUUCUCCCAUCAAACUUCUGGCUUCAUCAUCACCCAAGCAUCGAAGAAGAAUUCCAUCAAUAGUUCGGUAGCACAAUUCAUCUUCGAGGAGCACAUACUUGGUUGCUUGAAACCGAACCCGCCUCUCAACUUUCUUAGAUGGAUCUUUCAAAUAGUCAAUGAUUUCUUUCCUCCAAUCAUCGGCAUCAAUUGCCGAUAUUGCACCAAUCAUAGGCUGAUAUCCCGAGGCAUGCUGAGCCAACCGAUUGGCCUCCUCAUUAUGCAACCGAGGAACAUACUCUAAUCGGAAAUCCUUGAAUUCCUUCAAUAAUUGCAUGCUUCGCUCGUAAUAAGUUAUGAGACCUUCACUUCGGCAUUCAUAGCUUCCAGCCAAUUGAUUUAUAACUAGCAUAGAAUCUCCAAAAACCUCAACAGCAUCCGCAUGAACUCCCCUCAACAACUCUAACCCUUUUAUUAAAGCUUGAUACUCAGCCUGAUUAUUUGUUGACGUGGAAACAAUCGGCAAGGAAAACUCAUACCUCCUCCCUCUAGGGGAAAUUAAUACUAUGCCGAUUCCUGCCCCUCGGUCACAUGUAGAUCCAUCAAAGAACAGCGUCCAAGGUACAAUGUACCACAAUGUUGAGUCACGAAAUCGGCCAUAAUCUGCCUCUUAACGGCUUUAGCCGAUUCAUAACGCAUACCGAAUUCUGACAGUGCCAGAAUCCAUUUACUGAUCCUACCACUCAUAAUCGGCAUGGACAACAUAUAUCGGACUACGUCAUCCAUGCAAACAACGGUGCACUCGGCCGAUAACAAGUAGUGCCUCAACUUGAUACAAGAGAAAUAUAAGCACAAGCAUAGUUUCUCAAUAGCCGAAUACCUGGUCUCAGCAUCAAUCAACCUUCUGCUUAAAUAAUAAAUUACACGCUCCUUCCCUUCAAACUCUUGAAUUAAAGCCGAACCGAUGACCAUCCCAUCGGUAGACAAAUACAAUCUGAAGGGCUUCCCCUGCUGAGGUGGAAUCAGAACUGGAGGAUUCACCAAAUAAUUCUUGAUCUCAUCCAGACCCAACUGUUGUUCCUUCCCCCAAACAAACUCUUGAUCGGCCUUUAGCUUAAGAAGAGGACUGAAAGCACGAAUUUUACUAGACAAAUUAGAUAUAAAUCUUCUGAUAAAAUUUACCUUGCCGAUCAAGGACUGGAGCUCAGUCUUAUUGGUAGGGGCCACUAUCUUAUUGAUAGCAUCGAUAGAUCUUCGACUGAUUUCAAUCCCUCUCUGGUGCACCAUGAAACCAAGAAAUUGUCCUGCCAAUACACCAAAUGCACACUUAUUGGGAUUCAUUUUCAAACCAUGCUUCCUUGUGCAUUCCAACACCUUUCGUAAAUCGGCAAGAUGCUUUGCGAAGUCUUCAGACUUAACCACCACAUCAUCAAUAUAAAUCUCCACCAGCUUGCCGAUGAACUCAUGAAAUAUAAAAUUCAUGGCCCUUUGAUAAGUAGCACCAGCAUUCUUCAAGCCAAAGGUCAUAACUAUCCAUUCAAACAAUCCAACAUGACCAGGGCAUCUGAACGCGGUCUUUGGAAUAUCUUCUUCGGCCAUGAAUAUUUGAUUGUAUCCUGCAUUGCCAUCCAUAAAGCUAAUAAUCCGAUGCCCAGCCGCAGCGUCAACCAGCAAAUCGGCAACUGGCAUUGGAUAUCCAUCCAUCGGUGUAGCUUUAUUAAGAUUCCUGAAAUCAAUGCAGACUCGAAGCGUCCCGUUCUUCUUAUAAACUAGAACAACAUUGGAAAUCCAUUCGGCAUACCGACACUGCCGAAUAAACUUGGCUUCAAUAAGUUUGGUUAUUUCGGCCUUAAAGUCAGGAAGAAUAUUAGGAUUACAUCGGCGAGCUGGCUGCUGAUGUGGCCGAAAUCCAGACUUGAUAGGCAACCGAUGUUCAACAAUUGAUCGGUCCAAACGAGGCAUCUCAUUAUAAUCUCAAGCAAAGCAAUCUUUAUAUUCCCUUAACAAAUCAGUUAACUGUUGCUUACACUCAAGAUCUAACUUAGCACUAAUAAAAGUGGGUCUAGGCUUAUCACCACUACCUAUAUCUACUUCUACUAGAUCAUCGGCCGAUGUGAACCCCUGGCCUAACUUUCCAUCAUCGGCGAACCUAUCCAUUAAAAACCUUCGUCAGAACCGACUGCUUGGAUCGGUGGAAUUUCGUAAUCGGCAACCUUGAGAAAAUCUUUUUCCCAAAUCUCUCCUGAAAUACACCUAGUCCUUUCAUAGGUAUCUGCCUCUGCUGAUGCGAUGACAUAAGAAGAGUCUCCUGGGACUAUCUCAAUCUUGUCACCUACCCACUGGACCAAGCAUUGGUGCAUUGUAGAUGGGAUACAACAAUUAGCAUGAAUCCAAUCUCUUCCCAACAGCAGGUUGUAAGCACCCUUUCCACUGAUCACAAAGAAGGUUGUCGGCAAGGUUUUGCUACCGAUGGUCAAUUCUGCGCAUAUCGCCCCCUUGACUGGAGACACGUUCCCUUCAAAAUCAUUGAGCAUCAUGUCGGUCUUGGUUAAAUCCUGAUCCCCUUUUCCAAGCUUCCAAUACACUGCAUAUGGCAUGAUAUUAAUAGCGGCUCCACCAUCAACUAGAAUCUUGGUCAUUGGCUGACCAUCCACUUUUCCUUUAACAAACAGAGCCUUGAGGUGCUGCCUUUCAUCAUCGGCAGGCUUCACGAAGAUAGCCGUCAUUGGCUCUAGAGCCAACUGAGCUAUUUGGUUGGAAAAAUCCACCUCAUCAUCACUGGAUGGCGCAAGGAACUCCAUCGGCAACAUAAAUACCAUGUUGACAUCUGCCCAUGGACCUCCCCCCUUGGGGUCUGAUUGUUGUUGAUCCCCAGACUGUCCGGAGUUCUCCCCUUUGCUCAACUCUUCUCGCCUUUCGCGCUGCAAUCUUCUCUUCUAAGUCCUGGUCAACCCCUCUAGACACCAUGGAGGAAGCUGUUGCUGCCUUGCCGACGGGCGAUGAUUCUCCCUUGACUCUACCAGAUAAGUAUUGGCAUCCCUGCAAAAUAUGAACUCAUCGGGAACCCGAGCAUUAGCCAUCUCUUCAAGUUCUUCCUCGUUCCUGGGAAAAUACUGAACACGAUCCCCAAGCCUGUCGUGCACGCCGAGCCUACCCCCCCAGCCGAUCGUGAACAGACGCUCUCCCCCUAAUCGGCCCAUUAAAUCGUCGAUCAUCACCACGGUAGCACCGAUCGGACCUGUCAUACCGGUCAUAACCGUUGCACUCAGGACAAUCUCUGAUAGUUGGAAGCUUGAUAUUUUCCUCCCAACAGUGAAUGAAGAACGGGCAAUUCCAGUGAUCCCUAUGCCGGUUCCAUUCUUGUCGGCGUCUUUCCUCUUCCCGAUGAUAAUCCUCUUGCUGGCGCCGGUACCGAUCUUCUCGUUGCUGCCAAGUCUCCCGAGGUCUCCUAUGAGUUAUUACAAUACCAGAUCGGGGAGGUCUUCCUGAGCUGGUUCCUUCCUAGACCAAGCCUCUUCCUCUCGCAUCGGCAGUAGUGACCUAAUGCUGAGGAUCCACCGAUGCACUUUUUUCGGCUGCUUCCGAUGUUAAGACCUUGGCCUUUCCCUUAGCAUCCAACAUGUUCGUUGGGAAAGGAUGUUGAUCGAUCUUCAUCGGCUUCUGGGUCUUGGAACUGUCAAAUUUGAUUCUCCCAGACUCUAUAGCCGAUUGCAGCUGCUGUCUGAAAACCUUGCACUCAUUGGUGUCAUGAGAAGUUGCAUUGUGCCACUUGCAAUAUUUCAUCUUCUUCAACUCUUCGGCCGAUGGGAUCACGUGAUUAGGGGACAGCUUAAUCUGACCUUCCUAAAGUAGAAAGUCAAAUAUCCUACAGGCCUUGGUGGUGUCGAAUGCGAACUUUUCUGGUUCUUUGUGACCAAAAGGGCAAGACAUCGGCUUCUUAUUCUUCACCCACUCUGCCAAGCCGAUGACUGGUUCCUCAUCAGAAUCUGAGCUCGUUGCCUCAUACACGAAUGAUACCUUCUUGUUCCAUGCCCUCUUGGGCUCAAAAGGCUUGAUAUCUUGAUCAGAGAUUCUCUGCACCAGGUGACUUAAGCUUUCAAACUCCUGAGAUGCAUAUUUGUCCCUUAUGUGCGGCAACAAACCCUAGAAAGCCAAAUCGGCUAGCUGCCGAUCAUCCAAAACUAGGUUGUCGCAUUUGUUCUUGACCUUCCGUAUCCUCUACACAAAACUCUCCACCGAUUCAUCAUUGCGUUGCCUUAGUUUGACCAAAUCGGUAAUCUUCUUCUCAUGGACCCCAGAAAAGAAGUAUUUGUGAAAUUGUUUCUCCAGAUCGGCCCAAGUAAUCACUGAGUUGGGAGGCAAUGAUAUAAACCAGGUGAAAGCCGAUCCAGACAAUGAUGAUGAGAAUAAGCGAACCCUCAACUCGUCCCUGUUACCAGCUUCUCCACAUUGGAUGAUGAACCUGUUGACGUGCUCCACAGUUGACGUGUCAUCCUGCCCAGAAAACUUAGUAAAAUCCGGUACCUUGUACCGAUGUGGAAGCGGGAUCAAAUCAUAUGCGAGAGGAUACGGUGUCCGAUAAGAGUAAGUAUUGACUUUGGGUUUUAUCCCAAAUUGGUCUCUCAUCACUUCAGCAAUCUUAUCGGCCCAAUAAGCAUCGGCAUCUUGCCGAUGGGGCGGUUGCGGAUCAGGCACCUGCUGGUAAGCUUCCACGUGUCGGUGUGGCGCACGAUCUGCAUGAAACAUCGGGUUAAUCAUCUGACCCCCAAUCUGUGGACCACCAAGCUGCUGCCGCCAGUCUGUUGUACGCCGACCUGCUGCCCAAGAUUCAUUGGCUGGUUCGGAAUCCCCUGAUUCUGGAAUCCAGGAUAGAUCUGGCCUUGUUGGAACCCUGUAGCCUGAUGAUUCUGUUGGGGUGUUUGUGGAAAGACUUGCUGCCCAAGCCAUCCAUUAUUAGCGUUCAUCGGCACAGGCCCUGCCGAUGACUGGUAAUUGGGCAUUAUCAUUGAACUGACAUACCCUGGUUGGAUCAUAGACCUCUGUUGCAUCAGCAUUGAGUCUGCCGAUGCGUUAGGCAUCUGGAACGUUGGAGCUUGAGAAUUCCUAGUAUAAGGUCUUGCGGUAGUAGUUGUGGUAUACUGAGGACUCUGAUUCAUCGGCAUGUUUGGGGGUGCCGAUGUCAUAUGAGCCUUGCCCCUCACAUCGGUCGUCUGCGACGUACCCGGUGUUAACUCUGGAGGCAUGCCAUAACCCCACCAGUUAGGAGGAGGAGUCAAUCCUGACAUUGCCGAUGCCAACAGAUCUGUAGCAAGUUUAAUCUAUCCAUCUAAAGUUUGUGGAUUGGUUGUCAUCGGCGUAGAUUGUGCAUUAGUGACUCCCACCGUGCUUGGCGGAACAGGAAUUUCCAUGCCCGCAGCGGCCGUAGCGGCCGAUGGAGCUGUGACCCCUGGUGACGUUGGUUGGUGAUAAGUGGGGCCCACAUAAUCUGGUGGCAGCUGUCCUUCUUUGAAAGUUCUUGCCAUGACAUUGAAAACCGUGUUAGACAGUACACCAGCUUGGUUGAUCAAAGCACGGUUGAUAGCGCUGUCAACCAUCUCUUGAAGCUUGCCAGGAUUGGCUUCAAAAGUAACCUGCCGCGGUGCCGGCAGUGCAUCCUUCUGGAUCACCUCGCCACUCCUGUUCAUGCUGAAGGACCGUAGGCAUUGCUCCUUGUAAUCCUCCAUGGCCUUAGCAAUAGCUUGCUUCUGCUCAUCCUUGAGAUUGGCUUCCGUUACAGGGAUGAUGUUUUCUUGAUCAAACUCGGAAGUCGACAUGUUGAUCUUGAUCUUGAAUCUGGUCCCACCGGGCGUGCCAAAAGAUGUGUUGGUGCAAAAGCUGAUAUGCAAACACAAAGGGCUAAUACCCGAUUUAAACGUUAAGGCGUGCCAGCCGAUUUGACCUUACUAUCGGCAAAGGUGGUAACUCGAAUACUUUGGUCCUGACAACAGCGAUGCGCCCAGAUGCCACGGCCAAGAGGUAUUCACGCAGAACUUGAGAACACGCCAAGCUUAAGUCGACGAAUUCCUAAGAACUCGUAAUAAAAGGAAAAAGGUAUGACGAAGUCGUCGAAAAAGUAGAUGCUUAUAAUAUAAAUAAAAAACGUGUGUUUGAUUGAUUGAUAUCUGUCUCAUUACAAAGCCGUACGGUUUAUAUUUAUACCCUGCUCAAAGAGCUACAACCAGACACGACUAGAACUCGAAUUCCAAAUUACACAGAAUCCAUAUACAAAACGAUUUGAAUAACUAAGGAAAACAUAAAACUAUCCCCCCGUGACAAACUGAAACACCUCCACAAGCCGAUCGGCAGCUUCCAGACUCUUCCUCCAUAUUAUCGGCAGAUUCCCUCGUCGUAGCCAUCGGCACAGACACAUCACCACCUAUGGACUUAGUCAUGUUCAACAGCCCCUCCAUCGGCAACUCAUCCUACAGAUCAAGCAACACCAUUUCAUCUUGCCGAUCCACACUUUAUCGAUCAUGGACACGUACCCAAAAACGGUGUCAACAGUGUCUUUUAUGUUUUACUAGACAGGUAAGUCUAGCUGAGUACAUUCUCGUACUCAAGGUUUAUUUCCCACCUGUUGCAGAUGACAUCUUUUAUGACGGCUUCAGCAAGACCUGUCUCCAUCCCGCUGGGGAUGAGGACUAACCAUUGCGCACGGUUCUCUAACAACCUCGUACCUGUUGCUUUUGGAAGGAUGGUGUAUACUCUGGCAGUAACUUGAACUUAUGAACUGGACUUUGGAAAGUGCGUGUGUAACUAUUUUGCUUCCGCUACUUCGAACAAGUGUUGUAAUAACUUAAUACUCCGAUGUGGUGCCGCUUCGACGGCAAUGAAUGACUAUGUAACAUUCACUAUGUUUAUGUUGAACUAUUACGAUCUUGGUUUGUUACAAGUUGGUUUGAAAUCCUUCGUGGUUUCAGUUGACUACCGGGAUUAUAUGGGCUCAAGUUUGGAAACUUGAUUGCUUGUCGAUCGUUUCUACACUUGAACUCUUAUAAUUUGGUCGGUUCCGUGACAUUAAUGAGGUUGGUACAUGCCAAGUGAUGGAGCAAGUGAUGAUCAUGGUGAUGAUGGUGAUGACCACAAGGUGAUCAAGUGCUCAACUUGGAAAAGAAGAAAGAGAAAAACAAAACCCUAUGGAGAUCAAGGCAAAGGUAUUGCUUAGGGUUUUGGUUUUGGUGAUCAAGACACCAUAGAGGGUGUGAUCACAUUUAGGAUAGAUAGCCGUACUAUAAAGAGGGGAAUUCUUUGGCUAAGCGGUUAUCGAGUGCCACUAGGUGUCAUUGUUCAUGUGCAUGCAUUUAGAACCUAGUGAGCUAACUUAACUUCUUCAAAGAAAAUGAUUGUGAAAACACUAACACACGUGCACUUGUUGGUACACACUUCGUGGUGUUGGCACACUUUGAGAAGGAGGUGGAGUUUGAAGGGUUGAGAGAGGAUGGGUUCCUCUCUCCCUCUUGCCGAGCUUGCGAGGCAGGAUUCGGCGCUUUUCGAGAAAAUGAAGUGCAUAUUUUCUAUUGUGCUGGUGGGAAAAUUGGAGAAGUCGUGGGAGUGUUUCUCGCUGAGGAACACUCACCGGACGCUGAUUCAGAAGCACCGGACGCUGUUCCUGUGCGUCCGGUGAGUAGGCAGCCUGACUCGGUUAGGGUUAGGCACCGGACGAUAGGCACCGGACGCAGCUUGGAGCAUCCGGUGGUUAGCAUCCAGUGUGCGGGCGUUUUGCGACCCUUUCUGCGCAUGGGUCCGGUGAGCACCGGACGCUACCGGUGCUUAGCAUCCGGUGACCCGCACGUUUGCGGAACUCUCUGCGCAUGAGUCCGAUGUGCACCGGACGCGUCCGGUGCCAACUUGCUCAGCGUCCGGUGCUCUGCAGGUUACCGUUAGACUCUGACACACGGCUGACUUUGGAGCACCGGACGCAAGUGUUGAGCGUCCGGUGCCCCUUUAAAAGCGUCCGGUGACCCCGUGUGUUGCCCAGUGAAAGAGCCAACGGCUCUAUUUGUUUGAGGGGAUAUAAAUAUGUGUUUGGCCGGCUUAGGGCUCACCCUCUGGACAUUCUAACAUACUUGACAUCCUUGUGAGCCUAAGCAAACACCUCCCACUCAUCUCCUUCAUAGAUUAUACAUCUUUGUGUGAUUGAGAGUGAUUCCAAGUGCAUUUGCUUGAGUGAUUGCAUCUAGUGGUACUUGGGGAUCGUUCUAGCUGCGGUUUUCUUGUUACUCUUGGUGGUUGCCGCCACCUAGACGGCUUGGAGCGGCGGAGGAGGAUUGGCACGAGAUGGUGAUUGUUCGUUGCCAUCUCCCGGUGAUUGUGAGGGGUCUUGUACCUUCCCCGGCGGAGAGCCGAAAGGUAACUCUAGUGGAUUACUCGUGUCACUGAGUUACCUCACUGGUGGGUAGGUUCUUGUGGUGUCCUAGUGAGGACGAGGUUCGUGCUACACCUCUUAGCCACCGAACCACCAAGUGUUGCUCGACACAAUGGGGACGUAGCGUGCCGGCAAGCACGUGAACCUCGAGAGAAAAUCGUGUGUCUCCAUUGUGAUUGUACUUUGGAUUUCUCCCAGUGAUUGGACUUCAUAUUAUUGAUUGAUUCAUCCCCUCUACGCGGUGGUAUAAAGAUCAAACAUUCUCUCUUACUUUCUUGGAAACUAGAGUAGCUUACUUACUUGUAUAGAAACUUUAGGUAGUUCUCUAGUGUAAAUAGUGUCAUAGCUCUUGUGUGCCUAGUGAUCUUAACAACUAGAAUUGUUGGAUAGGUGGCUUGCAAACACCCCUUUAGAGCUAGAUCAAAAAGCUUCGCUUUGUUAUUUACUAACCUCUUGCUCUAGUGAGUUUGUAGAAUUUUAAAUAGGCUAUUCACCCCCCCUCUAGCCAUAUUAGGACCUUUCAGCCCGCCCUCCCCCCUUGGGCGCCCGCCCUGGCCUCGGGGCCAAUCACAAUCAACUUCGCGGAUUAUGCUCCACCAACCUAAAGGAUCAAGGAAAACCGUGCGAUCAAUGUCGGUUUGAUCUGACAGCCCAAAUUCACUUGAAAGGACUAUAUAAUCAAGGCCUGUCCACCCCAGGGGGAAGAGGAGAAAUCAUUAUCUGAGGUAGCCAUCAAAGUUAGGGUUUAGAACUUCUCUCCCACAGAGAAUUAGAAUUAGCUACUCCCUAAUCCUUCAAGUUUAGAGGAUUGAUUAGAUAGAAUUAGAGAAGUAGAGCCUAGUGCUCUGGAUUCGGAUCUUCAUCAAUAAAGAUUGGUAUUAUUUCAUAUCUUUCUCUACUGCUUUAUUCUAAUUGCAUUAUGUCUCUAUUUAUUAUGCUCUUAGUUUGCUCUAGUUCUAUAUUUGAUAUAGUUAUGAUUGAUAAUGAGUUUAUGUAUAAAUUUGCAAAGCGCUUAGCUCUUAACACGUGGGAGUUAAGUGGUAGAUCACAUGUAGGCGUGGUGCUUAGAUGUUAUUUACCUGCAAAUGUAUCCUAUUGGCCGGGUCGUGUGGUAGUUCGCGAUAGUGACAGCUUUGUUGAUUCUUAUAUAGUCCACCCUCCGUUGAUAGGACAGGCAGAAUUUGUAUUGUGGAGUAAGUCUUGCGAUGCUCUGAUUUACUUUAACAAUGUUCCUUAUACAUGAAUGAAGAGUCUUUUAUGCUAUAUAUGAUCUUGUAGAUAACUAGAGUAGAUUGUGACUUAGUAGAUAGUAGAUGACUUAGAAUCCAUUCUCUAGCUAAUCCGACGUCACCUUACAUAUAUGAGUAGUCUAUUUUCUAAUCGCUGUGUUAUUUACCCAUGCGCUUAUAUUUCAUUAUCAUUAUUAUGGCUUACCCCCCUACAAAAAUAAGUGACUGUGUGACGAGCUUCUCAUUAGUAAUCAUGUUCUUGCAAGUUUAUCUCUAGUCUAUGCCUUGAUAGAUUUUAUCUUUAUUCCCUUUGUUUUCUUAAGCAAAAUUAUAAAUAACGAUACCUAGAAUACUUUUCCUGGUGAAAUGCUACAAUGAGGUAUUUUAUCUGUGCGCUUGCGGAUAGAAUAGAUUAUUUUCUAGAGAGCCUUUACAUUCAUAAAUACCUUUGUACACUCUGGCACCAUGUUGGGGAUGACAACCUAGUAUUCAAGUGGUGUUAGUAAGUGUCAACAACAAUCACGACAAAAGAGUUAUGCCGACAAGAGAAGAAGGCCACUUGAGUUUAAAGUGGGUGACUAUAUUUACCUCAAAGUUACGCCAAUGAAGAAAGUUAGCGUUUUUGAGUUUGAAGCAAGCUUGCACCUAGAUACGUGGGGCCGUAUCAGAUACUAGAAUGGAAGGGCCCUGUGGCCUACAAGAUUCAGUUACCUGAGGAGUUGAAAGUACCGUGUGUCACAGCUACAAAAAUGUUUGAAAGUACCUGAGCAAAGGAUCGAACCUCGAGGAAUCAAGAUAAAGGUAGAUUUGGAAUAUAAGGAGCAACCAGUGAGUAUCGUAGAUACCAAGGAGCGGGUAACCUGGAAUAGAGUUGUCAAAAUAUAUAAGGUGGUGUGGAGUCAUCACAAUGAUAGAGAUGCCACCUGGGGAACCGAGGAUUACCUAAAAACAGUUUACCCAAAGUUUCAUAAGAAAUGGUUACUAACCCAAAAUCUCGGGACAAGAUUUCCCUAAGGGGGGAAGGGCUGUAACACCCUAGGUGUUAAGCAUGCACUUAGUCUCAUAAACUCUCUCAUAAGCAUUCUCAUCAAGCAUGGCAUAAGCAUAACAUCACAUGAGCAUAGAAGUAAUUCAAGUAUGAUUUCAUGUGCUUGAUUUACAUGACUUAAAUAUGAUAAAAAUAGUAUGCUUGCUUCCAAAUUUCUUGAAAUGACCAAAAUAGAUUGAAAUAUGUUUUAGAAGAAUUAAGAAUAAUUUUGUGAAAUUUUUGGAGCUAUAGAAUUUGAGAAAUGGAUUUUAUACAAAAAGCCCCAAAAUGAAUUUAUUCAAAACCUAGAACUAGUUUUGAGUGGUAUUUCAAAUUCUAUUGGGAAUUUGGAAUUUCAGCUUGAAACAAAGUUGUAGAACUUUUUAUUUAGAACAACUUUUGUUUUGGGGGCCAGAGCUGAAAAAGGAUUUAAAUUUGUCAAAAUGAGUUUGGAAAAUUAUUAGAGAAAAGAAAUUCAAAAAAAAAGAGGAAAUGGGGGUUGGCGCUGCUGGGCCAACCCGCCUCCCUUUCGGCCCAUCCAGCCGCGCGGCCCAGCCUCCCCUCCCCUCUCCCGCGCGCGGACGCACCUGCCUUGCUCCACCCGGCGCCGGCCACGUGGCGGCCGUACGCCGGCGUCGUGGACACGCCGCUCGGCCGACCGCCUUAUCCCGGUCGGGACGCCACCCCGCGCCCCUAGGCGCGCCAUUCUGUCCCCCCCCGCUCCCUCUCCUUCUCCGCCCGCGAGCGUAGCAGCAGCAGCAACCGCCACGGCGCCAUUGCCGGCCGAUCUCCGCCGCUCGCCACAGGCCGCGUUAGUGGCCCGUUCUCUGCGCCAAGACCACCGCCGUGUUCGCCUUCGCCGCGGUAAGCCCCUACGCGCGCUCUACCAAGGUGAAAACCCUCCGUGAGCCCGCAAUCUCUCGCUGGAGCUCGCCCGACCUCGUCGGAGUGCUCCGCCGCGUCGAAGCCUUCCCAUUUCUACCCCGUUUCGCUUGUUCUUGAGCGCGUUAGGUUCGGAGCGUGGCGAGAAAGCUUAGACGGUACCCCGCACUCGCUCUACUCCGCCGGAGUGGCCUAGCCACGGCGAGCAGCGCCGCCGUGCCGCCAUGCACGCCAGCAGGGGUGCUCCGGUCGUCCUCCGGCCAAACCUAGGGCACCCUCGGGUGCGACUCGCUGCGGGGAACACGUUGGUGCUCACCCCGUGGCCGGAGACCUCACCGCCGACGAGAUCCGCUCGUCGGAGGUGCUCUCCCUCUCGGUCAUGCUGACUAGUGGGGUCGGGGGCCCACUGUCAGCCGCAGGGGGACCGAGGCGGGUAGAGAUCCGGGUGUUCCUAGCGUUUUUCAUUCCGGAUUUGAAAUGGUUUUUCAAAAAAUGUUUUCCAGAAAAUGUUUUAAAUUGUAUUAAAUCUAUAUCUUGAGAUCCAUGGCUCCAAAAUUGGUGAAAUAAAUUUUGAUGUGCUCUAUAAUUCCAGAUCUAUAGUUUGCAGUGGUUGCAUGUCAUAUUUGAACAACUUUUCUGUACAAAUAUAUUUAAUACAUGUUUUUGCUGAAAAUUGGAAAAUGCAUAGUAAUUAAAAUAUAACUCAGAAAAAUAUGAGACUUGUUUUUUUUGGAUCUGAAUGGAUGAUUAGUCUUUGGGAAAAAUAUGUCAGAUAUUAAUUGUUGCAUAAAUUAAUUUAUGAUGAUUUAAAUGCUUGCAUGGCAGUGGUUUAUGAUUUUUAAGAAAUAAUUGGAUCAUGCAAUUAAUCUGGAAAUUUUUGUGGGAGUUUCUUAUGUUAACAAGUAAUUUAUAAAAAUAUGAAAUCUGUUGUUUGACACUUAGGCAACAGUAGGGUAUUUAUACUUAAUUAUAUUGAGUAAUCUCGUAAUUUUUGUAGGACAAACUAAGUGUCCAAAUAUUAUGAAAAAUUUAUGGUAGACUUUAUGGUUGACCAGUGAUCUACUGUAAUUUUUAUGGAAUUUAUUGAUAAACAGAAAUAUAUGCUACUGUUGUAGGUCCAAUAAUAAUUAAAAUAAAUUAUUAAUUGUUAUGCAUAAAUUAAAUGGAAUGAAGGGGCGUUUGGUGUAUCUUUGAAGCAUCAUGUUAGUUUGCUGGUUAACCAUGAAAGCAACUUGUAGAAGAGAAUGCAAUAGAUGCUUAAUUUGAGUACAAGUUCUUGGAUGAUGUUGACUACCUUGUAGAAAUAACCACCUAUGUAAUCUAUGCACCAUGUCAUGAUCAUCUGGUACCCACUUGCAUAAGCAUUGCACCCCGGGCAUCUCGCACUCCACUCAUGAGCACACAUGCAUCAUACAGGGUCACAGGAGAACGAAGUGGAACUCGAGGAACAGGAGGAAACCUCGGAGUAGGAACUUCAAGGAGGACUAGAGCUGGGAGAAGAGCUACAGGAGUGCCCGGACCACAAGCCGAGCACGUUUGAGAAAGGCAAGCCCAAGAGCAUUCUAAGUCUCCCUAUUCUCGCUAACUUAAUUAGUAUAUCAUGCUUGUUCUACUAUGUUGCAUUUAAGUGAUAGGAAUUGCUUGAUACCGUUGAUGCAUACUUGCUCCUUGAUAUCACCACUUGUUUAUCUACCUUGUCCUAUGUAGAUAGGCUCGGAGUCUAUGCUUAGCUUGCUUAGUACGGUAGAAGUCGGGUGAUUUCCUGUCACCUGCGAGAUAUAGGUGGACACCUGUUUGAUUAGCUGUUAAUGCUAUGAGAAAAAGUAACCAAGUGUGGGAUUGAACUUGAGACCGGGCAGGGUCUUAUGGUAGGGUUGACCGUAGUGCCCCUGCCCGUGUCAAUUAAGGACCGAUCGUUGACGGCCCUCUUGUCAUGUUGAACGCAUGCCCCAUACUUAGCUGGAAGGAUAAGUCGUUCCUACCGCGAAGCCUGAGCACUAUCCGGGCCGGGAACCGGCCCGAUGUACGCGAUGUAUUGGUGAUGGUUGAGGAGAACGACGAGGGUGCGGCGCGCAACCUUGGUAUACCUUGGAUACCUCGGUCGCCGGAACUGUCCUCGGGUACGGGCGGUGCCUGUCGAACCCGCGAAUUGGUCCUGGAUAGUGCAAUACGGUGAUCUGUAGCUCACUUGAUCAGUGAGUGUGGUUUGUGUGGGAAAUAACUCGCCAGCUGGUCAGAAAUCGAUUCGAAUCGCCAUCGCUCCUGGAUAGUGAGCACUUGACAUGAGCCCUGUCCUCGUAGUAAGGACUAUGGAACACUUGGGUUAUGAUGAAAAAUGAUUUAUGAAUGCUAUGAUGAGGUACCAUCAUAUCACCACACUUGUUUGAAAUAGUACAGGUGCAAAUCUAGCUGAUAGGUAAUAAUACCUAACCUGAGCUAAUUAAAGAAAAGAGGGUUUUAUCAGGAUGUAUUCUAGUGGAUAGUGCUUUUAUGCAAAAGGUCUCAGUUACCCCCACCAUACAGCCUUCAUGAUCCUUGAAGAGUCUUUAUUUUUGGUUUCUGACGGGUAAGUCUAGCUAAGUACAUUCUCGUACUCAGGGUUCUAUUCCCAUGUUCAUUUGCAGAUGGGCAGAUGUACUAUGGUUAUUGCAUUCUCUGCUUGUACCAAGCAAUGGGUGAUGACUAGACCAAGGGCGAUGGUCACUCUACCUCCUCUUUUGCUUUUGUGGAAAUGACCGAACUACGGCACUGUAUCAGACUAAAUGUGUGUGUUAUUUUCAAACUAUGAAGCUUCCGCUACUUGAGAACCUGGUUUGUAAUAACUUUAAGUAACUCCGAUGUGUGUGAUGAAUGAUGCGGACUGGAUGUAAUUGUGAAUGGUAACCGCUGAACUUAUUACGAUCUUGGCUAUAUGUACGAUUUGUGCUUUGAAAUCCUUCGAGAUUUCACAGACUACCGGGAUUAUAUGGGCUUAAGCUCGAUGGUUCGACUGUGCAAAUGGUCACCAUUAGGCUUAAUCUCUUAUAAUUUGGGCGGUUCUGUUACAGAAACAUCCUUUGCCAUGCUGCUAUGUUGGUUAUCCCUACCUUUGGGGCAUGCUCAAUUCGUUAAAUACUAAUCACACUACUUCAUCUCCACUUGAGUAGAUCUCUAUAAAUGCUCUCAUGCUACCUUUAUUUGCUUUAGUAUAUGUCUAGGUUUGGAGUAGUUUCAUUUCUCUCUUAAUUAAGCAUGGUGCUUAGUUUAGGAAUGAUGAUCUUACUUCCGAGGGAUUUUAAAUUAAGCAUGGUGCUUAGGUUAAAAUGCCCUCCUAAAUCAAAUUAGACAUGGUGUCUAGGUUGAUUUUUGAGCUGAUAGCAUGCUAUAGUAGAUAUUAGAUAUUUUGUUGGACUAACCCCUGCAGGAAAAAUUUUCAAUAUCGACCUGGGAAGUCCUGAGAUAAACUCACAUUGGAGACAAAGAGAGAGACACAUAAAGUUCAACAAUUUACAUAAGGAAGACAUAGCUCACAAGAGGUGAUCCAUGGAGGGUGCCACAAACACGAUGCACAACCGCUAAGAAAGGAAAGCUUCCACAAGGUGAUACUGUACCAUCACUCUUCAAGUAAGGUAACAUCUUAAGGUACUUGACUAUCACUUUUAUAAGCUUCUCCUUGGUUCUGGCGUUCACAUGAAUAAAAGAGACAAACAUGUAUGAUUUACAACUCUAUAUUAACCAACCCAAUCGAUUCAAUAUGUUUAGUCCUUCCACCAUUGUGAUCCCACACUCCUAAUCAUAUGAGCUAAAAUGAUGCACACUCAAUCUUUGGAAGAUAUAUAAAAAAAUAACAUAAAUAUAGAUAGAUUAUCUUUCCAUUAGGUUGAGCGAUCUGAUCUGACAAAUGUUUUAAAUGCUACACUCAUGAUCUUAUUAUCCAUCAACUUUGUCUUGCUCACUAUGCUUAAGGUUAGAGAAGAACAAAUACACUUUUGGUUCUGUUGGUGUUUUCCACCAACAGGGCCCAUGCACUUGAUCUCUGCCUUGUCUCUAUGAGCAGGUACACUUCGAGCAAAAUAUGAAGGAGUUUUACAACUCCCAUAAUCCACCAAGUGAAGAACCUAGAUCUACGAGCACAAACACACUGGAGAUACUGGACAAUCAGGCAAUCACGGCCCUGAGAUGCUUGAGGACGUAAACUACAUCAACAACAACAACAACAACAACUACUACUACUACUACAACCGUCCUCAACAAAAUCAAGGUUGGAAUGAACAGAGGCCUAACUACUCAGGUAAUUAUCUAGGUAAUAAUUCUUACAAUAAUAAUAAUAAUAAUUUUCUACCUCUGAGAGAGUUAGUGUCUAAUCAAGGAAACCUAAUGGAUAACCUAUCUAAGAAAUUGGCAUCUAAUGAUAAAAUGUUAGAAAAUAUAAAGAAUGGACAAUUUCUCUACUGCCAUCAAGAAUCAAAUUAGCUUUAAUAAAAUGAUUGAAUCUCAGUUAAAUCAAAUAGCUACUGCUGUUCCUGCUACUAACCCCGGUAUACCAUCACAACCGGAAGGAUUAGAAUCUGCAAAUCUUAUAGACAUGUUUGAUGUACGUAACUACUGGAGUAGCCCCAUUGUGGAAGUAAUUACUGACCUUCUGCCGGUCAAGAGAGGCGAUCUAGGAUGCCCCGUCAUCCCGAUCUCCAUCGGCAUGGUGGACUUCCCAGAAGCACUCUGCGACUUUGGCUCCAGUGUCAACAUUAUGCCCAGGGUACUCUAUGAAAAAUUCUUUACACAUCCUUUAGUAGAAACAACAAUGUGUUUGUAGCUUGCAGAUCGGACACUAAGUUUCUCAAAGGGAAUAUUGAAGAACCUCUGCGUCCGAGUUGGUACCUUGUACGCCCUAGGAGACUUCGUGGUGAUAGAGACUGGUACUGAUGAGAGGGCACCCAUCAUCCUAGGGAGGCCAUUCCUGAAUACCUCGGGAGCUGUCAUCUAUGCUAGUGCUGCCAAGAUCAGUUUCUACAUCAUGGGGAGGAAGGAGACGUUUUCCUUCAAGAACAAGACUACACAAAUUUCAGAGCAAUCCCGACAUGAACCAAGGAAGAGGACCAACAGGAGGAACAAGAACAAGAAAAUGUGGACCGAGUCAGCUAAGAUGGUCACUGCAGUUCAAGAGGUCAAGAUCGUCGACUUAAGUCACCGUUUUUGACCAAAAAGGACGACCCAGGUAUGCCAAGCAUCCAGUGCUCCAUUAAUGGAUACAACUUCCAGAAGACGCUUUGUGACACCAGGUCAGGCGUUAACAUAAUGGCCGCAGCCACCUAUCAGCUCCUGUUCGGAACCAUGCCCCUAAAACCGACAUACCUUCAGCUCCAGAUGGCAGAUCAGACAUUCGGAAAGGUUGAAGGUAUUGUAACUGAUGUCCCUGUCAAAAUAGACGAUCCACCAAUCAUCCUUGAGAGACCGUUCCUCAGCACCGUUAAAGCAAUCAUCUACAUUGGAACCGGAGAAGUCCACAUGAACUUCCCCUCUGAGAAGGUACACCGCUAUUUUACUGACCCUAACUAUAUAGUUGAAGACUCUAAGCAGGACAGGACAAGAAGAAGACGACGUAAUCGCAACCAGAGGAGGCGUCGCUGGAACCACCGACUACGCCAUCCAGCGAAUCCCAGGACGACUAAGAAAAUAGAGAGUCCCGUUCGGAGGACUUAAAAACACAGAACGCCUUGCCAAGAGGUAAACUUGGUAGUUAUCCUUUUCCCUUCAAUUAUUUAAAAUAGUUUGCUUAGUUAAUCAGGUUCAUAUCAUAUCGAAAAGAAAAUAAAAAUGUUAAAAAUAGUAUGCCCCAUGUGAAUAUGCUCAUGGCAUAAAACCCAUAAGUACAUUCACUGUGGCGGCGUAAAUUUAAAAUAAAUAUAUUCCUGUCCUAUAAAAAUAAAAAUAAAAAAAAUUAUGAUCCUACUAAAGAGAGUAACAUUUAUUGAGGAGGCUCAACAUGAUAAAGACUAGAUAUUUAUGCUAACACUUAACUAGUUCCACAAAGCAUUGUUGUCUAUUUGAGCUCCACAGAAUUCAAGGAUCAAAGAAGACUAGUAGACGGAGGACAUCCUAAUUGCUGUCAGGGUGCUGCCAACAUUCAAAUACACCUCCACCACCUGCUAGCUACAUCAGAAUAAAUUACGUCAAAAUCAAACUUGGGGGAGAGCACUCCCAUUUAUCCAGGUAAUUGUUCUACUCACGUUUAUACUUUACUCAAAUAUAAAAAGAUGCAUAAUCAUAAAAAUCCAAAUAAAGAUUUUGUGCUUAUAUAUAUCUUUGCUUAGUUUGCUAAAUAAAUAAAUAAAUAAAGUUUGCUAUGAACCCUCAUGAUAAGCUCUCACAUGGAAAUGAUGGAUAGUUGCUUUGCCAUGACUAGUUCUCAAAAUUGAAAUCUCUCUCAAGUUUAGGCAUCACUAUUAUGAAUUAAGAUUUGCUCUAAACCUAAACUUGUGCGAAGAGUACUUGAUCUAAAGUCUAAGUCGUUAACGGAUACGACAUGGGAAGAUUGAGCUACUGUUUAUCUAUUCCUAGAGAUGCUAGAAUUCUGGAGAAUUUUAUCUUUAAAAAUCUUUAAAAUGAUGCAUGCUGAGUUCUUGUAUGAUGAGAGUUUAAAGUCCUACCACAGCCAUAUAUACAUGCUUACACUACUAGAUUCGCCCAGAAUUUCAACGCGCCUAAACUAUGGCAAAAGCGCCACAAACGUUGUAAUAACCGGAAUGGCAACGCGCGAAAAACGUUGUGGGGUGUUGCAAGACAAACUGUGGCAAGAGGCUAUCGCAACGCUUUUCUGGUUAGUGUUGCAAAUGCAGUAGUUAUAUCGCAACACUUGUGGCAUUGUAAUCUGUGUUGUUGCUACAUUUUUUGGUGUGGUAACAGCAGCUAAAACAAUGCUUGAGGUGUUGCUAGAACAUGUAAUUGCAACAUGGCCAUGUCGUAGCAACUGGUGCAAUAGCAACGAUUAGUGCGGGUUGCAAAACAAUUUAUUGCCACACUCGGCAUUUCGUUGUUAUACUUAACUUUGGUAUUGCUACGUAGAACUGGUAUGGCAAGUCAGGUUUUAUCACAACACCAUGAAAUGGUGGCAACAUGUUGAUUUGCCACGCUCUAGAUUUCGUCGCUAUAAGUGAGUUUGUUAUUGCUACGUAGAUAUGGUGUGGCAAGUCAAGUUGUAUAACAACACCAACAAAUGGUUGCAACAUGUUGAUUUGCCACGCUCUGGAUUUCGUUGCAAUAACUGUCUUCAUAAUUGCUACACAUAAAAUUGGCAGCUACAUGGGCAUAUGCUAUUACUACGAUUAGUAUGCGUUGCUAUAGUAUGUGUGUUUCCUCAUUAAAUCUGGUUGCAAAUACUCAAUUUAACAAUGUUGUUUGAUUGGUAGCACCAAGAAUUAUUCUUGCACCAUUUAAUAAUGCAGAAAACAAUAUUAAAAAUAGGUAGAUCAUGAGAUUACAGCCACUUAAUGACAAAAACAACCAUUCAUUAAAUACACAACCCAAUGUAAAGUAUGUAGUAUCACAAAGAUAAAUGCUCUCCUCAAGACUUUCGAAGAUAACAAAACAAAGUUUAAAUUUGCUUCAUUCAUGACAUCUCAAACUUGAAGCACCACAUUGUCUAUCAGCUUCCUACUAGAAGUGGUAGAACACUAUUGGGUAUUCUUAACAUCAUUAUUAAAAGUAGACUAAGUUCUAAAUCUAGCAACGGUGCCAAAAAUGCCAAACCUAUCCCUCACACCACUUAAGCCAAGUUGUCAUCCCCAGCAUGACAUGAGAGAUGCGGUAUUGAAAUAUGCAAUUGCUCUUCUAAAUAAAUAAUGAAUGGGAUCUGCAAGCGCACAGAUUAAUACCGAUGUAGCAUUUUAACCGGGAAGUAUUCCAGGUAUCGUUAUUUAUAUUUUUACCACUGGGAAGGGAUUAGCAAUCAUCACUAUUGAUUAUAGAAUAGAAUAUGAGAUUGAGCAUCUAUCAUUGCAUGUAUAAUUGAGAACAUUAUAUCUAACUCUUCAUACAGGGAUAAGUGUCACAUAAAAGAUAUAUGAAAUAAUAAUAGUGACAAGGAUAAUUAGUCUGAUCUAGCCACAUAAUAAAUAUGAUAAGCACCUCAAUUAGAUACUCUAGAAAGUCAUUAGCAUGGUAUUAGAACGAACUACAAGAAUAUUCCCUAAGUUAUUCUUAACUAUAUAGUGUAGCAUUAUCAUAAUUAGUGCAAGCAUACUUAGCAAUCAUUGCGAGACAAGACUACGCCCAUGCAUAGUGAUAUUAGCAAGGAAUAUGAGAAACAUAGCAAUCACUCCCCUGUAAUAAUGUUGCUCUGCCAGCCCAAUACACGAGAGGGGGACUAUAUAAGAAUCAAUGAAGCUGUCACUAUCACGAACCACCCCUCGAUCUGGCAUAUUGGGUACAAUCGCAGAUAAAUACGGUAUAAGCACCACGCCUACACAAUAUCUAUCAUUUACCCAUGGAUCCGAUGGAUAAACGCUAUACGAUCCUAAGCAUGUAUAUAGAUCGUAUCUAACUAAGCCAAGUACAUAACUAUGAUAAACUAAGAACAAUAUAAUCUUGAAUAUAAACAAGUAGAGCAAAGUCAUAAGCAAUAUAUUGAAGUAUAACAAAGUCAUAUUCAUAAUAUUGAAGAACAAAGAUAAUUAGAAAGUAAUUAGAAGCACAAUUAGAGAAUUAUCAAGAAUCCUCCUGACAGAUCCGGAAACCAAUCGAAGAUUGACUCCUUCUAGUUCUAAUCCUAUGUAGUUAUGCUAAUCUAGAUGUCUAAUUGAUGUGGUGGCUCUAAUCUUGAUCAGAGGCUUCUUCUCCCUUGAUGGAACAAUGAAUUAGGGUUGAGAGGCUCUCUCCUCCAGGGGCCAGGGGGUCUGGUUUUAUAGUCCCUCCAAGUGAAUAUGGGCCCUUGGAUCAAACCGACAUAGACUGUAUGGUUUAGAUUCAUCCUUUAAGUCGGUGGAGAUCUCCCGCAAAGCAGAGUCCUGAUUGGACUCCUGGAGGGGGCGGGCGCCCAGUAGGACAGGGCGGGCGCCCUGUCUCUGGCCCCGUUUCGCCUCCGCUUCGGUCUUGUGGCUUCUGGAGUCUUCUAGAUGUAAGAUAAUUGCGCAGCACGUUAAUAUCUUUACGUAAUCCCGACAUGUGGGCCUUUCUUCCAUAUUUCCUGAUAACCCCCUGCAGAAAUAGACAAACACCAAAACUCGUGGAAUUCUGUCAGAUAAAACCCUAAGUCUGGAUCUUGAUUUUAUUUAGAUCCUUUUCUUUAUUUAUUUGAUAAUUAAAUUUGAUACUUAAGGACCGUCAACAAACUCCCCCAAGCUUACCUCUUGCUCGUCCCUGAGCAAGGAUAGACUUAGCUAUGGAUCAUAAGUUGUUGCAAUAUCUUUUAAAAAUUUGAUGGUACACAUGCUUUUUAAAUAAGAUCUCAUCUCUAAGUUAGAGUAAACUGUCAAGAUUUAAAACUUACUUACUUUACCUUCACCAUGGGACUUGUAACUGUCACUUCUGUCUUGAGUGGUUAAAAGAUAGAACAGUCUAGCCAAGUGCCAUGUCUCUUAUUCUUGAUCAGCUAUAGCUCUGGGAUUUUUGCAGAUUUUCAAAUAAAACUCAGAGAUUCCUUGUAUGAUUCUCUCAGGUCUCUCUUUUGUGGUAUUUUUGGAUCCUUACCAAGGCAUUGAUGGUAUAUACCUUCUCUCAAGAUAUGUAGUAUUUGUGGUAUGAGGCAUAGUGACAUUGCCUUCUCUCUCACCCUACUCUAAUAAGCUUUAAUAUCUNNNNNNNNNNNNNNNNNNNNNNNNNNNNNNNNNNNNNNNNNNNNNNNNNNNNNNNNNNNNNNNNNNNNNNNNNNNNNNNNNNNNNNNNNNNNNNNNNNNNGAUAUAUAGCAAGUGGUAGUAACAAGAUAACUUGAGCAUUUAUUUCACAAGGGGAAAAUAGAAAUAUUUUUGGUUAUUCUCUCCCGGAUUAGGAGUAGAAUAUUUUUAGGUGGUUCUGGAGAUGGAAAUGAAUGGAUAUAUGUGGAUGGUACUUCCGGAGUAGAAGUAGCAUAUAUGAGUGAACGUGCAAGUGAAUCUUGAUUUAACCACAUGACAAGUUCCUAAGGGUCAACACAGCUUGACCACACUCAAUGCUCAUAAGCAGUAAAUAUUAAAUGUGUGGCUCAAAGUCUAGCAAGCAUGUAUGUAUGGCUGUGGUAGGAAUUUAAACUCUCAUCAUACAGGAACUCAUCAUGCAACAUUUUAAAUAUUUUCAAAGAUAAAAUUCUCCAGAAUUCUAGAAUCUCUAGGAACAGAUAAACAGCAGCUCAACCUUUCCAUAUCAUAUCCGUUAACAAAUUAGACUUCAGAUCAAGUUUUCAUCCCACAAGUUUAGGUCUAGGGUAAGCUUUAAAUUAUAACAGUUAUAUCUAAACUUGAGAGAGAACUUGAAAUUUGCAAAUUAGGCAGAGGAACUAUUUAUCAUAUCCAUGCUUAAGUUUUAUUUGAUAUAGAUUAGCAUAGCCACUUUAUUUAUUUAUUAAACACACUAAGCAAAAGACAUAUAUAAGCAUAAAAUCUUUAUUUGGUUUUCCCAUAGUUUAUGUGUAUUUUAAUAUUCUAAAAUAAUAUAAGUAUAAAGAUAGAUAGAAAUACUUAUCGUGAUAAAUGGGGGUGCUCUCCCCCAAGCUGAAUUUUGACGUAAUUUCUCUUGGUGUAGCUAGCAGGUGGUAGAGGUGUAUUUGAAAGUCAGCAGCAUUCUGACAGCGAUUAGAAUGUCCUCCGUCUGCCAGUCUUCUUGAUUCUUAAAUUUCUGUGGAGCUCAAAUAGACAACAAAGCUUGUGGAACUGAUUAAGUGUUAGCAUAAAUAUCUAGCCUUUAUUAUAUUGAGACUCCUUAAUAAAUGUUACUCCCUGUUUUUAUAUUUUUAUUUUAUAAAGCAGAAAAAUAUUUAUUUUAUUUUUAUGCCACCACAGUGAAUGUACUUAUGGGUUUUAUGCCACUCGUCUACUCACAUGGGGCUUACUGUUUUUCACAUUUUUAUUUUCUUUUUUUUAGGAUAAUACGAACAUGAUUAACUAAGUAAACUAUUUGAAAUAAUUGAAUGGGAAAGGAUAACUAGCAAGUUUACCUCUUGGCAAGGCGUUCGGUGUUUUUAAGUCCUCCGAACGGGACUCUCCAAUUUCUUAAUCGUCCUGAGGUUCGUUGGGUGGCGUAGUCGGUACUUCCGGCAGCGCCUCCUCUUCUUGUAUAGUUAUCUUCAUUUUUCACACCUGACUUGGUGCUUCAAUCUCCUCUAGAUAAUUAUGUUUAAACUCAACGUCUUGUGAUCUUACAACUUCUCCUUCAUAGUCUGCCCAUCCGUCCUUGAUGAUCUGCCUCCUCUGGUUGCGGUUGCGUCUCUUUCUGACCUGCUUAGAUUCUUCAACAAUAUAGUUAGGGUCAGUAAAAUAACGGCGUACCUUCUCUGAGGGGAAGUGCAUAUGGACUUCUCCGGUUCCAAUGUAGAUAAUUGCUUUAACGGUGCUGAGGAACGGUCUUCCAAGGAUGAUGGGUGGAUCAUACUCGUCUUCUCCCAUGUCAACAACUUGAAAGUCUGUGUAGACAAAGUGAUCGUCUAUUUUGACUGGGACAUCAGAUACUAUUCCUUUGACUUCUCGGAAUGUCUGAUCUGCCAUCUAGAGCUGAAUGUAUGUUGGUCUUAGUGGCAUGGUUCCGAACAAGAGCCGAUAGGUGACUGCGGCCAUUAUGUUGACGCCCGAUCCGAUGUCGCAAAUCAUCUUGUAGAAGUUGUAUCCAUUUAUGGAGUAGUAGAUGCUUGGCAUUCCUGGGUCGUCCUUCUUAGUCAAACACGGUGACUUAAGUUGGUGAUCUUGGCCUCCAUGAACUACAGUGACCAUCUUAGCUGACUCGGUCCACACUUGCUUGUUCCUGUUUCUCCUGUUGGUCCUCUUCCUUGAUUUACGUCUUGAUUGAUCUUGAAUUUGUGUAGUCUUGUUCUUGAAGAAAAAUGUCUCCUUCUUCCCUUUGACGUAGAAACUGAUCUUGGCAGCACUAGCAUAGAUGAUAGCUCCCGUGGUAUUCA